GUAGGUGGCGAGCGUUGUCCGGAAUUAUUGGGCGUAAAGCGCGCGCAGGCGGGGUCCUUUAAGUCUGAUGUGAAAGCCCACGGGCUCAACCGUGGAGGGUCAUUGGAAACUGGGGGACUUGAGUACAGAAGAGGAAAGCGGAAUUCCAAGUGUAGCGGUGAAAUGCGUAGAGAUUUGGAGGAACACCAGUGGCGAAGGCGGCUUUCUGGUCUGUAACUGACGCUGAGGCGCGAAAGCGUGGGGAGCAAACAGGAUUAGAUACCCUGGUAGUCCACGCCGUAAACGAUGAGUGCUAAGUGUUAGGGGGUUUCCGCCCCUUAGUGCUGCAGCUAACGCAUUAAGCACUCCGCCUGGGGAGUACGGCCGCAAAGGCUG
rnacentral:rRNA from 1 species